rnacentral:rRNA from 1 species
AGUGAACGCUGGCGGUAGGCCUAACACAUGCAAGUCGAACGGCAGCACAGUAAGAGCUUGCUCUUACGGGUGGCGAGUGGCGGACGGGUGAGGAAUACAUCGGAAUCUACUUUUUCGUGGGGGAUAACGUAGGGAAACUUACGCUAAUACCGCAUACGACCUACGGGUGAAAGCAGGGGAUCUUCGGACCUUGCGCGAUUGAAUGAGCCGAUGUCGGAUUAGCUAGUUGGCGGGGUAAAGGCCCACCAAGGCGACGAUCCGUAGCUGGUCUGAGAGGAUGGUUAGCCCAACUGGAAAUGAGAACCGGGCCAGACUCCUACGGGAGGGCAGAGGGGGGAAAUUUGGACAAUGGGGGCAAGCCCGAUUCAGCCAUACCGCGGGGGGGAAGAAGGCCUUCGGGUUUGUAAACCCUUUUGUUGGGAAAGAAAAGCAGCAGGUUAAUACCCCGCUGUUCUGACGGUACCCAAAGAAUAAGCACCGGCUAACUUCGUG